CAAGGUUUUUUUAAAGGAAUUUUUAACCUGAUCACCAGAUUAUCUACAAGGGAAUUUUUUUAAUUUUUAAAAUUCCCUUGUAGAUAACCUGGUGAUCAGGUUGGAUGGCUCC
rnacentral:ncRNA from 2 species